rnacentral:rRNA from 1 species
GACGAACCGAGCGAACGUUGUUCGGAAUCACUGGGCUUAAAGGGCGCGUAGGCGGGUGCUCAAGUCCGGGGUGAAAUCCGUCCAGCUCAACUGGAGAACUGCCUCGGAUACUGGGCGUCUCGAGUGUGGUAGGGGUGGUGCGGAACUAUCGGUGGAGCGGUGAAAUGCGUUGAUAUCGAUAGGGAACUCCGGUGGCGAAGGCG